CACAAAAAUUUCCCAAAUCACGCCGCACCCCGCGUGAAGGCCAAGACAACCCGCCGCCGGUGGCUCCCAAAGAGCGCCGUUCGGGCCGAGCGCCCUCGCCCCUCUGCUUGCUGCUCGAGCUGCAGGGGCGCCUGCUUCGCCGGCGGCGGUUCCGCAACAGCGUGCUGUCUGAAGCACAGUGGCGUCCCUUCCCCCGCUGCUCCCAUGGCACGGCUUCUUCCUCCAGCCGUUCUGCGGGGGCCGAGGCGGUGCUUGCGGAUGCACGCGGUGCAGGGGAGAAGUCGGGAGGGGUCGCGCGGGAGGAGAAGGAUCGGGUCUCGGUGGUUCUUCAGGAGGCGCGUGCAAAGGGGAACACGCGUGCAAAGAGGGCAGCAGGGGGUCGGCUCGAUCGAUGCUUUGGGAGUUGGGGCCAAGCCGGGAGCACUGGCAAGUCUAAACUCCGCGCCUUUGUCAGGUGAUGGAUAGAUACUGCAAAUUCUAAGCACAGUUGGUGACGGGACGGUGGCCAGUUGGGGACAGGUUGAGGACGAGCGAUGUUGUCCCUGUCGGCGACGAGCAAAUGCGAUGCCUGUGGUGGAAGAAUGGAGGUAAGAGGGAGAGGCGGAGGAGCGGUGUGGUAGCCGGUGCGAUGCGGCGGCGCUGUAACGCCUUGUACGAUAUGUCGAUAUGGUGGCCGGAUGGAUCCGUGUGAGGUGGUACAGGGGAGUGGAUGCACUUACUUCAAUUGGCAACAGCCGGAAGCCAUCUGUGCCGUGCUUCGGCUAUCGCCGUCCUGCUUCUCCCCGUCGUGAAACGCCGCCAGCUAGAACCGAGAAGACGAUCAGAUCGAGUCACAUAUGCCCCGGGAAGAAAUAACUAACCUGCAAAUAUAGUCUCCCUCAAAAAAAAACCCGGAAAUGUUAACGCCCACACGUGUGGGCGUUUGCACAUCGCCCACACGCCUCCAGCACCA